rnacentral:rRNA from 1 species
UACGAAGGGGGCUAGCGUUGUUCGGAAUUACUGGGCGUAAAGCGUGCGCAGGCGGCUUCUCAAGUCAGGGGUGAAAGCCCAGAGCUUAACUCUGGAAUUGCCUUUGAGACUGAGAGGCUUGAGUACGGGAGAGGUGAGUGGAAUUCCCAGUGUAGAGGUGAAAUUCGUAGAUAUUCGCAAGAACACCAGUGGCGAAGGCGGCUCACUGGCCCGAUACUGACGCUGAGGUGCGAAAGCGUGGGGAGCAAACAGG